rnacentral:misc_RNA from 1 species
GAUAGAGGUAUAAAGUGGCUCUGCCAAGUUUGUGGACAAAAUAGCUUGUAAAUUUUAUUAUGGAAUAUUGACAUUUCAGUGUUGCUCAAAAUUUAGUAAAAUUAGACUUCAUACACGAGGAAAACUCAGUUGUACUUGCAAUAAAGAGAAUGUGUUAAAGACAUUUAGACGUAAUUGUUAGUGUUGACUGAAUUUUAACUUGCAAAUUUUCUAUGUGAAGGCAGCACCUAAAGCAGUAGAUUCGAGGUAUAAAAAUUAGGGCAUGCUUAUUAACCUAUAUCUACUCUUGUUAAAAUUGAUUUUCUUGCUUUUGCUUCUAUCGUUAUCACUUGGUUUAUUGGUUUUCUGAUUUGUUCUUUAUUUUCCUAGGGCAUUUUACUUCUGAAACACAAACAAACCAGAGUAGAUAAAAAAAAUUAAUUAAGGAGAAGAAGAGAAAUUCUGAAAUUUUCUAAUUGCUUCUUGUAAAUAAUCCAAAUGAUUUUGUGGAUAAAUUUUAUAUUUAUAAUGAUCUGUCACCAAACAUCACAAUAUUUUCUGCGGGACUUGAGAAAUAUUUUUGUUUAUAACAGGAU